UACGGAGGUCUCGAGCGUUGUUCGGAUUCAUUGGGCGUAAAGGGUGCGUAGGUGGCGCUGUAAGUCGGGUGUGAAAUCCUGAGGCUUAACCUCGGAACUGCAUUCGAUACUGCGGCGCUUGAGGACUGGAGAGGAGACUGGAAUUCAUGGUGUAGCAGUGAAAUGCGUAGAGAUCAUGAGGAAGACCAGUGGCGAAGGCGGGUCUCUGGACAGUUCCUGACACUGAGGCACGAAGGCCAGGGGAGCAAACGGG
rnacentral:rRNA from 1 species